rnacentral:rRNA from 1 species
AACGAACGCUGGCGGCAGGCCUAACACAUGCAAGUCGAACGAACCCUUCGGGGUGAGUGGCGCACGGGUGCGUAACACGUGGGAAUAUACACAUAGGUAAGGAAUAACUCAGGGAAACUUGCGCUAAUACCUUAUAAUAACUCCGGUUCAAAGAUUUAUCGCCUAUGGAUUAGCCCGCGCUAGAUUAGUUUGUUGGUGAGGUAAGAGCUCACCAAGACUACGAUCUAUAGCUGGUCUUAGAGGAUGAUCAGCCACACUGGAACUGAGACACGGUCCAGACUCCUACGGGAGGCAGCAGUGAGGAAUAUUGCGCAAUGGAGGAAACUCUGACGCAGCCAUGCCGCGUGAAUGAAGAAGGCCUUAGGGUUGUAAAUUCUUUCAGAUGCGAAGAUAAUGACGGUACCAUCAGAAGAAGCUCCGGCUAAAUUCGUG